rnacentral:rRNA from 1 species
GACGAACGCUGGCGGCGUGCUUAACACAUGCAAGUCGAACGGAAAGGCCCUGCUUGCCGGGUACUCGAGUGGCGAACGGGUGAGUAACACGUGGGUGAUCUGCCCUGCACUUCGGGAUAAGCCUGGGAAACUGGGUCUAUUACCGGAUAGGAGCCAUUUUUAGUGUGAUGGUUGGAAAGUUUUUUCGGUGUAGGAUGAGCUCGCGGCCUAUCAGCUUGUUGGUGGGGUAAUGGCCUACCAAGGCGGCGACGGGUAGCCGGCCUGAGAGGGUGGACGGCCACAUUGGGACUGAGAUACGGCCCAGACUCCUACGGGAGGAAGCAGUGGGGAAUAUUGCACAAUGGGCGCAAGCCUGAUGCAGCGACGCCGCGGGGGGGAUGACGGCCUUCGGGUUGUAAACUCCUUUCGCUAGGGACGAAGCUUUUUGUGACGGUACCUAGAUAAGAAGCACCGGCUAACUACGUG